rnacentral:rRNA from 1 species
CAGAGGGUGCGAGCGUUGUCCGGAAUCACUGGGCGUAAAGGGCGCGUAGGUGGUGGCUUAAGCGUGCGGUGAAAGCUCGGAGCUCAACUCCGAGUCGGCCGUGCGAACUGGGCUCACUGGAGCAUAGUAGAGGCAGGUGGAAUUCCGGGUGUAGCGGUGGAAUGCGUAGAGAUCCGGAAGAACACCGGUGGCGAAGGCGGCCUGCUGGGCUAUGGCUGACACUGAGGCGCGACAGCGUGGGGAGCAAACAGGAUUAGAUACCCUGGUAGUCCACGCCGUAAACGAUGGGCACUAGGUGCUUGGGGGAGCGACCCCCUGGGUGCCGGCGCUAACGCAUGAAGUGCCCCGCCUGGGGAGUACGGCCGCAAGGCUG